UAAUACGUAGGUGGCAAGCGUUGUCCGGAUUUAUUGGGUUUAAAGGGUGCGUAGGCGGUUCCAUAAGUCAGUGGUGAAAUACGGCAGCUCAACUGUCGAGGUGCCAUUGAUACUGCGGAACUUGAGUACUGAUGAGGUAGGCGGAAUUGACGGUGUAGCGGUGAAAUGCUUAGAUAUCGUCAAGAACACCGAUAGCGAAGGCAGCUUACUAAGGAGUAACUGACGCUGAGGCACGAAAGUGCGGGGAUCAAACAGGAUUAGAUACCCUGGUAGUCCGCACAGUAAACGAUGAUUACUCGAUGUUGGCGAUACACAGCCAGCGUCUUAGCGAAAGCGAUAAGUAAUCCACCUGGGGAGUACGCCCGCAAGGGU
rnacentral:rRNA from 1 species